rnacentral:rRNA from 1 species
AAUGAACGCUGGCGGCAGGCCUAACACAUGCAAGUCGAGCGCCCCGCAAGGGGAGCGGCAGACGGGUGAGUAACACGUGGGAAUCUACCCAUCCCUGCGGAACAACUCCGGGAAACUGGAGCUAAUACCGCAUACGCCCUACGGGGGAAAGAUUUAUCGGGGAUGGAUGAGCCCGCGUUGGAUUAGCUAGUUGGUGGGGUAAAGGCCUACCAAGGCGACGAUCCAUAGCUGGUCUGAGAGGAUGAUCAGCCACAUUGGGACUGAGACACGGCCCAAACUCCUACGGGAGGCAGCAGUGGGGAAUAUUGGACAAUGGGCGCAAGCCUGAUCCAGCCAUGCCGCGUGAGUGAUGAAGGCCUUAGGGUUGUAAAGCUCUUUCACCGAUGAAGAUAAUGACGGUAGUCGGAGAAGAAGCCCCGGCUAACUUCGUGCCAGCCGCCGCGGUAA